GGAUGCAACACGAGGACUUCU
rnacentral:siRNA from 1 species